GUAGGGAAUCUUCCACAAUGGACGAAAGUCUGAUGGAGCAACGCCGCGUGAGUGAAGAAGGUUUUAGGAUCGUAAAACUCUGUUGUUGGAGAAGAACAGGGACUAGAGUAACUGUUAGUCCUUUGACGGUAUCCAACCAGAAAGCCACGGCUAACUACGUGCCAGCAGCCGCGGUAAUACGUAGGUGGCAAGCGUUGUCCGGAUUUAUUGGGCGUAAAGCGAGCGCAGGCGGUUUUUUAAGUCUGAUGUGAAAGCCUUCGGCUUAACCGAAGAAGUGCAUUAGAAACUGGGAAACUUGAGUGCAGAAGAGGACAGUGGAACUCCAUGUGUAGCGGUGAAAUGCGUAGAUAUAUGGAAGAACACCAGUGGCGAAGGCGGCUGUCUGGUCUGUAACUGACGCUGAGGCUCGAAAGUAUGGGGAGCGAACAGG
rnacentral:rRNA from 1 species